UAGGAGUAGUUGAUCCAGACUAUGGGUUUCAUCCAAGGGGAAAAGUACUGAGGGGAAGAAAUCCGCCAAUAAACGCAGGACCUACUAGAGGAGAGGAGGAACUUUGCAACAGCUCCUUGUUCUGAUAACUUUAUGAAAAUGUCCCUUGCAUAAGGUAUCUAGAGAAAUAUGUCCCCUUCAUAGCUGAGAUUUUAUAUUGUUAUGGAAGAGCUUUGGGCCUGCCCUAGUCGUCUUCGUCAUUUAACAAAAAUGAGCCAAGUGUGAAGGGUCUAUUGUACAAUUAAUUUCUCCCUAUCACUCCCAUCUCCCACCCAGGCAUUCUUUUAUAAUGGUCAGAGUGCAAGUACUCUCCGUUUGGCUUUCUCCACCUUCCAUAAGUUAUUUACUGUUUAAAGGCCUGAUCCUUUAAACCAUUACUUUACGUGCAUGAACUUUUCCUUUGAAGUCCAUAGGACUAAUCGCAAGCAUAAAUGAAAUAUGUGCCUAUCUGUUUGCUGAAUUGGCAUCUAAUUGCCUACCACGUGCUUUGCACAGUACAAGAUUUGCAUUCACAUGUAAUGUUGGGGAGGAGGGCAUCCCUAGGCAAAGUCCCGUUUUAUGUCUACACUUCAUGUAAUGGUUGUCAGGAAAUCCAUCCAUUAAUUUUGUGCAGCUUCACUACAGAAGUUGAUGUACUUUAAAAUGUAUUUUAUAUUUUACUAAAUGAUUUACCGAAACCUUGAGAACAAGUAUGUAUACCCAUCCCAGAGCUGAGGUCCCAUCCCAUUUAAAAGCAAUAUUCAUGGAGUUAUCUCAGUUUAUCCCUGAAGUUUACUGAAGGUAUUUUGAAUUUGUUAUACUGUAUCCAAGAGAUUAGAACAUCUUUUAUACACGUUGGAUAUUCACAGGGGACAUAGUAAUUUGGGAGGGGUAAUUGUUGAUAUAUUUAGUGCACUAAAUACAGAACUGUGAACUGGUAAUGUCUAUGUUAUUGCCACAUAGCUUGAUUUAAUCUCAACAAGUAUCUCUUAUUAUAAGCAAAUAGGGAUACUGUAUAACACUCUCCCUUUACCCCUUCAAAAAUAAAAUCAGGCCAGUCACCAAUGCUCAUAUAUCAUAAACCAAGGGUUGCCGACUCCUGUCAUAAACCUUAGAAGUACAUUGCUAAGAAGUUAGCACUAGCCCUUUCCAUUAUAAAUCAUGUAUUCCAAUUGGGUUUUUUUAAGUGUCCAUGAGAAAGUGGAAUGUCAUAAUCUGAUGCACUGAAUGGUCCUACUAAUACGUGCAAUUUAGCCUCCUGCUGGCAACAAUAUUGUUUCCUGAGGAUAAACCCUUCAGCGUUUGACAUGAUGAACCUCAAGUUAUUAUAACAUUUUAAUUUUAUUUGUAUUGCUCUCUGAAUAUAAUGUAAAUUGAAUGACUCUUCUCUUACAGAUACUCCUUUGUGUCUUUUUUUGCAACUGUAUUUGCAGUGGUUAUUACUGUACAGCUGCACAUAUAGAGUGAAAAUAAAGAAACCAGUCAAAUCAAA